rnacentral:tRNA from 1 species
GGGUAUAUAGCUCAGAGGGAGAGCGGCGGCCUUAUAAGCCGUGUGUCACCGGUUCGAUUCCGGUUAUGCCUA